UCCUUCCUCCCAGGGCUGGCCGGGAUCUGCAGGCUCUUUGCGGCAGCUCUUCUGUUAGUCAUUCACAAAAAACAUAUUGGAAAAGCUGAAGGGAAAUGCUUGGAUGAACAAGUGAUUAAAUUUCUAUUUUCACGCCUGAGGAUCCGCGGGCUGGCUCACAGACGCACCUCAUCCAGCUCCAGGCCCCCUCAGGGCACCCAGGCAACAAUGGCUGCUGGCAGAAAGUGUUCAAGAGAAGAGUGAAGAGAGCAACACGACAAGUUCAAAUGACCAAGGUGCUUAAACUCCUGGGUCCUCAAUUUCUUCAUCACUUAAACUGAGACAAAAACUAUCCAAUCACAGGACUAACGAAGAGGCUCUAUGUCAGAUGAUGCGCUUGUAGAAUGUUACACAGAUUUGGGUUACUGAUAUUAUUUCUGGAAUCACAAUAAAACAUAACAUAUGUUAACAUUAGGAAGAAGUCUAACAUUUAACCAUAUUGUAUAGGUACAAGUGGAUAGCCACAAAAUGAAUCUUAUAAUCUUAGUGGCUUGAGAGGCUGAGGCAAAAGGAUUAGGAGUUCAAAACCAGCCUUGGCAACUUGGUGAGGCCCUAAACAACUUAGUGAGACCCUGUUUCUAAAAAUAAAAGGUGGGGGGGCUGGGGAUAUGGCUUGGUGGUUAAACCCAUAGCUUAGUCUUAUACCAUGCAUACAUAUAAGCUACAGAGGUAUUAAAAUAACUCUCUGCAAAAAUCAUAAAAUAGGGAAGUGCUUUGAUAAAUAUUGAAAUGGGGAAAUCCUUCCUUGGCAAAGUCUCCAAAUCCAGGACCGAUAAAGGGAAAGGCAGACAGAUAUGACCACUUAAAAUUUUAAAACGUUAGAGCCAUAACAAGUUCCGUAAUCAAAAUUAAAAGACUGUGAGAAAAUAUUUGCAACUGGAGGAAAAAUUAAUAUAGGAAAUAUAAAGGGAUAUUAUGAACCAAU